rnacentral:tRNA from 1 species
CAGAAGAUAGUUUAAAUAAAAUAUUAAUUUUGGAGAUUAAUGAUAAGAGUAUCUUUCUUCUGA